CAACCAGGGGGCGCUUCGAAAUUGCGAUGGUAGCGCCACCGCAGUACAACACAUGGUCGUGUCGCGUCGGUCGUGUUCGUAGCGUUGCAUUGGCGUCGCAGGUGUUUCGAGCGUACAGUGAAGAUUUAGAGAAAGAUAGAAAGCGUGCGAGAGUUAUUUCUCAUGAUGAGUCAAGAAACGAUAGAGAAGCUUCAAUAACACGCAUCUUCCACCGAGAAAGCGGUUGAUUUCCCCGCCAACGAGUCGGGUCCGCCUCGCAAGUACGGUCGUGUCGCCCGUGCGGCGUCUACGAGAUAACUUUACAGGUUCAAGUUGUCCAGUCCACAUGCAAGAUUUCCAGAUAUUGGCUGGGGGCUUGAUUCAUACUUUACUGUGUGGGACAUUUUAGGAGGAAAAUGUUGUGUAGCAAAGGAAACACCAGUGACACAUGAUAGGUUGUCAUCAGUAGAACAACUUUUAUUUUCUAGAAACAUAAUCCAUGCAUGCCAGUGUUUAAUUGCUGCUUCACUGAAUAAAGUUUUUCGUGGCAUGUU
rnacentral:lncRNA from 1 species